UGAUGACGAGGCGCUAAGGCGUUGAAGCAGUGUAUGUCAGACUUCCAAGAAAAGCUCGCAAUGUCACAAAUAAAAAGUGCCUGUACCAUAACCGACACAGGUGGGUAGGUAGAGUAUACUAAGGGGCGCGAGAUAACUCUCUCUAAGGAACUCGGCAAAAUGACUCCGUAACUUCGGGAGAAGGAGUGCCUUAUUUAUAAGGUUGCAAUAACAAGAUCCAAGCAACUGUUUAUCAAAAACACAGGUCUCCGCUAAGUCGUAAGACGAUGUAUGGGGGCUGACGCCUGCCCAGUGCCAGAAGGUUAAAGAAGUUGGUUAGUGUAUGCGAAGCUGAUGACUGAAGCCCUGGUGAACGGCGGCCGUAACUAUAACGGUCCUAAGGUAGCGAAAUUCCUUGUCGGGUAAGUUCCGACCCGCACGAAAGGCGUAAUGAUUUGGAUACUGUCUCGGAGAGAGGCUCGGUGAAAUAGACUUGUCUGUGAAGAUGCGGACUACCUGCACCAGGACAGAAAGACCCUAUGAAGCUUUACUGUAACUUGAAAUUGGAAUUGGACUUUGCUUGCGCAGUAUAGGUGGGAAGCGUUGAAAAUAUUCUUGCGGGAGUAUUGGAGCUAUCAGUGAGAUACCACUCUUGUAAUGUUAGAUUUCUAACUUUGAACCAUAAUCUGGUCAAAGAACAGUUUCAGGUGGGCAGUUUGACUGGGGCGGUCGCCUCCCAAAUGGUAACGGAGGCGUACAAAGGUUUCCUCUGAACGGAUAGAAAUCGUAUCUAGAGUGUAAAGGCAUAAGGAAGCUUGACUGUGAGACCUACAAGUCGAGCAGGGACGAAAGUCGGUCUUAGUGAUCUGACGGUACUGAGUGGAAAGGCCGUCACUCAACGGAUAAAAGUUACUCUAGGAUAACAGGCUGAUCUCCCCCAAGAGUUCACAUCGACGGGGAGGUUUGGCACCUCGAUGUCGGCUCAUCGCAUCCUGGGGCGGUAGUACGUCCCAAGGGUUGGGCUGUUCGCCCAUGAAAGCGGUACGCGAGCUGGGUUCAGAACGUCGUGAGACAGUUCGGUCCAUAUCCGGUGUAGGCGCUAGAAUAUUGAGAGGAGCCUUCUUUAGUACGAGAGGACCGAGAAGGACACACCGCUGGUGUACCAGUUAUCGUGCCAACGGUAAACGCUGGGUAGCUAUGUGUGGAGUGGAUAACCGCUGAAAGCAUCUAAGUGGGAAGCCCACCUCGAGAUGAGUAUUCAC
rnacentral:rRNA from 1 species